UACGGGGGGGGCAAGCGUUGUUCGGAAUUACUGGGCGUAAAGGGCUCGUAGGCGGCACGACAAGUCGGGAGUGAAAGCCCGGGGCUCAACCCCGGAGGGUCUCUCGAUACCGUCGAGCUAGAGUGCGGAAGAGGCAACCGGAAUUCUCAGUGUAGCGGUGAAAUGCGUAGAUAUUGAGAAGAACACCAGAGGCGAAGGCGGGUUGCUGGGCCGACACUGACGCUGAGGCGCGAAGGCCAGGGGAGCAAACGGG
rnacentral:rRNA from 1 species